UAUUCAAAUUUUUAGUAUCCAACUUAGCAACCAGUGGAACAUCGUCGUUACUUAUUAGUGGCAUCUCAACUUCCGUAUCAGGGUUUUCUGGUAUAACUGAUCCAUAUACAAGCCCAAUACACAAUAUUAAUGACAACAUUGCGACUAUAACUGUACAAUGACAGAACAGAUAAAUAAUUCAAAUAUUAUAUACCCAGAUUCGCCAGAAAACACUCAAUAAAAUUAAAAUUUAUGGGUAGCGCUAUUCUCGACUAAAAGUCUACCCCGAAA
rnacentral:lncRNA from 1 species